AAGGCAAGCUAAGGUUCAGAGAGGCUGUGAUCCCUCCAAGGCCACUCAGUCCACAGCAUUCUCUGGUGGCAGACGCUGCAGGAGGAGAUAAUAAUCCCUGUGUUCCUGGGCGAGUCAGUGCCACCCGAGAUGUUGGCGGCCACUUUGGCUGAGCUGGACGGAUGCCUGCAGCUGCUCGAGGACAAGUUCCUGCGGGACCAGGCCUUCCUUACUGGGUCCCGUAUCUCUGUGGCUGGCUUGGUGGCAAUCACGGAGCUGAUGCAUGAGAGUGCCAUGGGGUGCGGUGGCCCGCUGGGCAGUGGUGUAUCCGGGAAGGGAGCUGACAUCCCAGCUCAUGUUGUCUUUUCUGGCUGUGGGACCCUGUCCCAUCAGUGCUGGCUGCUGAGUCUUUGAAAGCAGACCCACGGUGGCAGCAUGGUGCCCAACACGUGGAGGCUGCAGUGCGGGAGGACCUCUUCCAGGAGGCCCUCCCAGCUGUCCUGAAGGCCAAGGACCUGCCUCCAGUAGAACCUGCUGUUAAAGAGAAUCUGAAGACCUUAAUGCAGCUUUUCUUGCUGUGAGUGUGUGUCCCACACUUGCUGAGCCACUGAGGGGAUGCUGUGUUGGUAGAAUAAAGACAUGGAGCUGUC